CUGCCCUCUGCCAUGUGAGGUCACAGUGUUCCUCCCUCCUGAGGAUGCAGUGUUCAUGAAAGCAAACACUGGGCCCUCACCAGGCAACAAACCUGCUGGUGCCUUCAUCUUGGACUUCCCAGCCUUCGGAACUGUUAAGAAGCUCCACUGCGCUUUGUCCAUUGCAAGUUGAGAAGUGAGGCCCCAGCUGUCACAUACAGUGAGUGAAGAAGCUGAGCUUCCCUCAACGCCUGGGCCUGUAUGAAUUUUUUUUUUUUUUUUUUUUUUGGAGACGGAGUCUCACUUUGUUGCCCAGGCUGGAGUGCAAUGGCACUAUCUCAGGCCACUGCAACCUCUGCCUCCCAGGUUCAAGCGAUUCUUCUGCCUCAGCCUCCUGAGUAGCUGGGAUUACAGAAGUGCACCAUUACAGCUUGCUAAUUUUUGUAUUUUUAGUAGAGAAGGGUUUUCACCAUGUUGGCCAGGUUGGUCUCGAACUCUUGGCCUCAGGUGAUCCGCCCGCACAGCCUCCCAAAGUGUUGGGAUUACAGGCGUGAGCCACUGCGCCCGGCCUUAGGUAAGUUCCUUUUUUUUUUUUUUUGAGACGGAGUUUCACUCUGUUGCCCAGGCUGGGGUGCAAUGGCAUGAUCUCGGCUCACCGCAACCUCUGCCUCCUGGGUUCAAGCAAUUCUCCUGCCUCAGCCUCCUGAGGAGCUGGGAUUACAGGCAUGCACCAUCAUGCCCGGCUAAUUUUGUAUUUUUAGUAGAGACGGGGUUUCUCCAUGUUGAGGCUGGUCUCAAACUCCUGACCUCAGGUGAUUCACCCGCCUCGGCCUCCCAAACUGCUGGGAUUAUAGGCAUAAGCCACCGCGCCCGGCCUUAGGCUCCAUCACAAGAGGGAGCCCCAUUGCUAGUCCCCAUCCUCAAAGCCUCUGCGUGAUGUUGUCUACUGUUACUCUUCACUACCCUGUGGGAGCCAAAGCCCUGGACAUAAGAACAGAAGGUGCAAAAGUUUAGGCUGGGCGCAGUGGCUCACACCUGUAAUCCCAGCACUUUGGGAGGCCGAGGCCGGUGGAUCACCUGAGGUCAGGAGUUCAAGACCAGCCUGGCCAAUAUGGCGAAACCUGUCUCUACUAAAACUACAAAAAUUAGCUGGGCAUGGCGGCACGUGCCUAUAACCCCAGCUACUGGGCUGAAGUAGGAGAAUCACUUGACCCUGGGAGGCGGAGGUUGCAGUGAGCAAAGAUCGAAUCGGCUUCAAAAAAAAAAAAAAGCAGUGGUGGCUGAGAGGAAGAACUGACACCUUUGUGCUAUCAGAGCACUUUGCAGAGGAGCUGUUAGUGGCCCUGUAGGAGUCUGCUGGCCAUACAUCUGGGUGUCAAAUCAAGAGAGCAUGAGAAGUUGGACAGGAAAGGUCCAAGGCAAAAUGGUUACUAAAGGCCAUCCCUGAUCCUGACCCUAAAAGAAGAAAAGGCCCUUUGCUCUUGGCAUGCUUUUGCAGGAGUGUCUCAGUCUGUUUGGGCUGCUAUAACAUUGACUGGGUGAUCUGCCUGCCUGGCCUCCCAAAGUGCUGGGGUUACAGGUGUGAGCCGCUGCACCAGGCCUUGAGGUCAGGAGUUCGAGACCAGCCUGGCCAACAUGGUGAAACCUGUCUUUACUAAAAAUACAGAAAUUAGCCAGGCAUGGAGGCGCAUGCCUGUAAUCCCAGCUACUGGGGAGGCUGAGGCAGGAGAAUCGCUUGAACCCAGAAGGUGGAGGUUGCGGUGAGCCCAGAUAGUGCCAUUGCACUCUAGCCUGGCCAACAAGAGUGAAACUCUGUCUCAAAAAAUAAAUAAACAAACAAACAAACAACAAC
rnacentral:lncRNA from 1 species